AUUGAACGCUGGCGGCAUGCUUUACACAUGCAAGUCGAACGGUAACAGGCCGCAAGGUGCUGACGAGUGGCGAACGGGUGAGUAAUGCAUCGGAACGUGCCCAGUCGUGGGGGAUAACGCAGCGAAAGCUGUGCUAAUACCGCAUACGAUCUAUGGAUGAAAGCGGGGGACCGUAAGGCCUCGCGCGAUUGGAGCGGCCGAUGUCAGAUUAGGUAGUUGGUGGGGUAAAGGCCUACCAAGCCGACGAUCUGUAGCUGGUUUGAGAGGACGACCAGCCACACUGGGACUUAGACACGGCCCAGACUCCUACGGGAGGCAGCAGUGGGGAAUUUUGGACAAUGGGCGCAAGCCUGAUCCAGCAAUGCCGCGUGCAGGAAGAAGGCCUUCGGGUUGUAAACUGCUUUUGUACGGAACGAAACGGUCUGGGUUAAUACCCUGGGCUAAUGACGGUACCGUAAGAAUAAGCACCGGCUAACUACGUGCCAGCCGCCGCUGUAAUAC
rnacentral:rRNA from 1 species